rnacentral:rRNA from 1 species
UACGUAGGUGGCAAGCGUUAUCCGGAAUUAUUGGGCGUAAAGCGCUCGCAGGCGGUUUCUUAAGUCUGAUGUGAAAGCCCACGGCUCAACCGUGGAGGGUCAUUGGAAACUGGGAGACUUGAGUGCAGAAGAGGAGAGUGGAAUUCCACGUGUAGCGGUGAAAUGCGUAGAGAUGUGGAGGAACACCAGUGGCGAAGGCGACUCUCUGGUCUGUAACUGACGCUGAG